rnacentral:rRNA from 1 species
AGCGAACGCUGGCGGCAGGCCUAACACAUGCAAGUCGAACGAACCUUUCGGGGUUAGUGGCGGACGGGUGAGUAACACGUGGGAACGUGCCUUUAGGUUCGGAAUAACUCAGGGAAACUUGUGCUAAUACCGAAUGUGCCCUUCGGGGGAAAGAUUUAUCGCCUUUAGAGCGGCCCGCGUCUGAUUAGCUAGUUGGUUGAGGUAAUGGCUCACCAAGGCGACGAUCAGUAGCUGGUCUGAGAGGAUGAUCAGCCACAUUGGGACUGAGACACGGCCCAAACUCCUACGGGAGGCAGCAGUGGGGGAUCUUGCGCAAUGGGCGAAAGCCUGACGCAGCCAUGCCGCGUGAAUGAUGAAGGUCUUAGGAUUGUAAAAUUCUUUCACCGGGGACGAUAAUGACGGUACCCGGAGAAGAAGCCCCGGCUAACUUCGUG